CAGUGUACGAUACAAGUAUUCUAGUACAUCAAACCAGGAAGUUACAACGGUUGUUAAGUUUAGUGUCAGCUUCCCUUGAAGACUAUGAUGUUGUAAACUUGCAGUGAGAAAUAUACCUGCUUAAUUAAAGGAAACCAUCCUUGACAAUUGGGAACAUCAUAAUUGAAAGACCCUGGAAAGGGAUCAUGAACACUGUUGGGAGUGUCCAUUCAACUGAAAUAUAAAAGUCAGAAGAAUUGAAGAUUGCAAUGGAUGCAACAGAAGUGACCUAAUAUGACCAAAUUGAUAUGAAUAGCCAGUUUUUCGUUUGCAGUAAUGACACGAGUCGCCACAAAG